AGACAUAAUAUUCUCAGAAGACAUUAAUAAUUUAAUUUCACAUGGUAAUAUCAUUAUUUAUAAAAGUAACGACUAAUUUUGAUUUAUAAAAUAUUAGUCAUUUGUUUAAAAUGCAUUACCUUGAAUAUUAUGAUGAAAACUUUAUUUAUUAAUAUGAAGAUUUGAUAAAACUUUCUAAAAUACUUUUAAUAAAAAAUAGAUAGUUAUUCUUUUCUAAUUUAAAUUUUGUACAUUUUAUAUUUUAUAUUUUUUUUUGGUAAAUAAAGAAUUUUAUUACCAAGUGUAGGUUACAAGGCAUAAGGCAUCAAGCAUCAAGUUUGGACAACUCCAAACUUGAACUUCCGAAGGACCUAUACAACUAGUUCUAGAACCACACAGCCAAUCUAUGGAUAAUUCUAUUCCUCACUUUACUACACUUACCACUACAACAGUGUAUUUCCUGAACACAACAAAUCAUCUAUAGUUUUUCACCUGACUAGUCUAUCUUUGGAAAGCAACCUAUAAUUAAGAGCAAGAUAGAGAAUAAAGCACCACUUUAGUGCCCUCGUGUUGUUACAUAAUAGUUUCCUUCAAGCCAGCCAUUUUCGAGAAGUCACCCCUCAUCUUUUGGUAGAUCUUCUCUAUAAAGAAUGAUUUCAGUUGAGUAACCUCUACAGAGGAGUAACCACCUGCAGCAACUUUCUUCAUAAUCCACGAGAUUUGAGGGAUCUGCACAUCCCAAAUUUCCUUUCCUUUGAUAUAAUAACUAUGAACACAUUGAAUCCAAGUGAUGAGGAGGGGCGCGGAUGCCCCAGUUUGGAGGUAUGAGAGGCUAACUAUGGAUGGUUUCAGGAGGAGCAGAGGCAGGCCGAAGAAAUACUGAAGGGAGGUGAUUAGAUAUGACUGCUCCAACUGACUUGAGGACAUGACCCUAGAUAGAAAGGUGUGAAGGUUACAAAUAAGGGUAGAAGGCUAAUGGGAGUGUGUGGGUUGUAGCUUGCAGUCCGGGGUGUUAUGGCGUAGCCGGGUUAGUAAUCCGAGGCUUGUACAUAGGUGUCCUUGGUUUGUGUNNNNN
rnacentral:lncRNA from 1 species